CCUACGGGUGGCAGCAGUGAGGAAUAUUGGUCAAUGGGCGCGAGCCUGAACCAGCCAAGUAGCGUGAAGGAUGACUGCCCUACGGGUUGUAAACUUCUUUUAUAAAGGAAUAAAGUGAGGCACGUGUGCCUUUUUGUAUGUACUUUAUGAAUAAGGAUCGGCUAACUCCGUGCCAGCAGCCGCGGUAAUACGGAGGAGCCGAGCGUUAUCCGGAUUUAUUGGGUUUAAAGGGAGCGUAGGUGGGUUGUUAAGUCAGUUGUGAAAGUUUGCGGCUCAACCGUAAAAUUGCAAUUGAUACUGGCAGACUUGAGUACAGUAGAGGUAGGCGGAAUUCGUGGUGUAGCGGUGAAAUGCUUAGAUAUCACGAAGAACUCCGAUUGCGAAGGCAGCCUACUAGACUGCAACUGACACUGAUGCUCGAAAGUGUGGGUAUCAAACAGGAUUAGAUAUCCGUGUAGUC
rnacentral:rRNA from 1 species